rnacentral:rRNA from 1 species
AGCAGCCGCGGUAAUUCCAGCUCCAAUAGCGUAUAUUAAAGUUGUUGCAGUUAAAAAGCUCGUAGUUGAAUUUCGGGGUCAGUAGGUCGGUCGUGCCAACGGUAUGAACUGGUCUCACUGAUUCCUCCCUCUUGUAGAACCGUGAUGCCAUUAACUUGGUGUUGCGGGGAAACAGGACUGUUACUUUGAAAAAAUUAGAGUGUUUAAAGCAAGCUAACGCUUGAAUACAUUAGCAUGGAAUAAUGAAAUAGGACGUCGAUCUUAUUUUGUUGGUUUCUAAGGUUGACGUAAUGAUUAAUAGGGAUAGUUGGGGGCAUCAGUAUUCAAUUGUCAGAGGUGAAAUUCUUGGAUUUAUUGAAGACUAACUACUGCGAAAGCAUUUGCCAAGGAUGUUUUCAUUAAUCAAGAACGAAAGUUAGGGGAUCGAAGACGAUCAGAUACCGUCGUAGUCUUAACCAUAAACUAUGCCGACUAGGGAUCGGAUGAUGUUAAUUUUUUAAUGACUCAUUCGGCGCCUUACG